CCAGUUUGUGUUUUGAGAUUGUUGUUUUUUGUGGGUUUCUUUAUUUGUGGUACCUUUUGCAUCAUGAUUUGUUGAGUUGUUCUUUAGAUUGUAGGGUCUCGAAGGGUACUGAUUUUUGUUAUGCUUGGUUAGUUUAUAUGAUGGAAGUAGGUAACUUUAGUUUAAAGUAUAUCAAGGUUGUGAUAAGUGAUUCGGAGUAUCUUAUAUCUAGUGGAGGAAUUGUUUAUUGGUUUAUAGCGCUUUGGUGAUGAUAUCAAGGUGUUGUUAAGAUUCAGUUUGGUUUUGUUAUACUAUCUUGGAUUAAAAUUCUCCUUGUUUUAGGUGUGUGUUAUAAUUCAAUUUUGUUUUGUGUUGAGUUUGUUGUAGCUUUCUUUCAUGUUAAUUUUUCUUGAUAAUGAUAGAAUAAGUAGGUGUUUUAUUACUUUUAUUCUUUCUUGGUUGUUUUCGGUCUGUUUAUUAAAAACAUUUCCAUUUGUAUUUAUAGAUGGUAGUGCCUGCCCAGUGCUUUGUAUGUAAAUGGCCGCAGUAUUUUGACUGUGCUAAGGUAGCAUAAUUAGUUGCCUCAUAAUUGGAGGAUUGUUUGAAAGGUUUGACUUGAGAAUUAGGCUAGAUUAGAGGUUUGACUGAAAUUGAAUUUGAGGUGCAGAUUCCUCGUUGUGUUAAUAAGACGGAAAGACCCCGAGAUCUUUAUGUUGUGAUAUUUGUUUGGGGCAAAAGAGUAUAUUUUAUAUUGUUUUGGAUCCUAAAGGAUUAUAGGUUUAAGUUACCUCGGGGAUAACUAGGUAAAAAAUAAGGAGAGGUCUGAUCGAUUUAUUUUAUUGCUAUCUCGAUGUUGACUUGGGAAUAAUGAGGAGGUGUAGGAGUUUCCUUGUUAGGUCUGUUCGACCUUGUUUCCCUCAUGAGUUGAGUUAAGACCGGCGUGAGCCAGGUCGGUUCUUAUCUAUUAGUUACACGAAUUAGUACGAAAGGAUUGUUUGUGUUCUAUGUAU
rnacentral:rRNA from 1 species